rnacentral:rRNA from 1 species
AUUGAACGCUGGCGGCAGGCCUAACACAUGCAAGUCGAACGAGUGGCGGACGGGUGUGUAACGUCUGGGAAACUGCUCGAUGGCGGGGGAUAACUACUGGAAACGGUAGUUAUUACCGCAUACCAUCGGAUGUGCCCAGAUGGGAUUAGCUAGUAGGUGGGGUAACGGCUCACCUAGGCCACGAUCCCUAGCUGAUCUGAGAGGGUGACCAGCCACACGGGAACUGAGACACGGUCCAGACUCCGACGGGAGGCAGCAGUGGGGAAUAUUGCACAAUGGGCGCAAGCCUGAUGCAGCCAUGCCGCGUGUAUGAAGAAGGCCUUCGGGUUGUAAAGUACUUUCAGCGAGGAGGCGUUACUCGCAGAAGAAGCACCGGCUAACUCCGUGCCAGCAGCCGCGGUAAUUC